rnacentral:lncRNA from 1 species
UGGAGGGCUUGGGCCCUAUUUUUAUUUAUCUUUAUUUCUAUUCACAUGUAGCACAGUGCUAAAUAAAUGUUUGCGAAGUGUCAGCUGAGGUCAACCUACUCCACCAUAUUGCUCUCAGCUGGCUCUUCCAAAUUGAGAAUGUGGAGGAGGAAGAGGAUCUUUUUCUAGUUGCUGGGACUUGUUGCUUGAGACAAAGCUGUUUUUCUCAUUUCAGUGACAUAUACGUGACAGAUGAGGUUGAUGGACUACAGAAAUACAGAUUCUAACUCAGAUGAAAAGCUUAAAUUAUUCUGCAGUCCCACAGAAUUCAAGAAAGAAACUGAGAAGUUGGGAUUUCCAAGGACUUGAUGUUAGCAUUUUCGAAACACACGAUGAAAUCAACAACGAAGUAUGAUUUUGGGGGAGCCACUGCCAUUCAUCUUGAAUCAAGAGAGAGAAGCCUCCAAGGCAUGAAGCAAACACCCACGAAG